rnacentral:rRNA from 1 species
CAGUAGCCGCGGGAAUACGGAGGGAGCUAGCGUUGUUCGGAAUUACUGGGCGUAAAGCGCGCGUAGGCGGUUACUCAAGUCAGAGGUGAAAGCCCGGGGCUCAACCCCGGAACUGCCUUUGAAACUAGGUGACUAGAAUCUUGGAGAGGUCAGUGGAAUUCCGAGUGUAGAGGCGAAAUUCGUAGAUAUUCGGAAGAAUACCAGUGGCGAAGGCGACUGACUGGACAAGUAUUGACGCUGAGGUGCGAAAGCGUGGGGAGCAAACAGGAUUAGAUACCCGGGUAGUCCCUGUCUCUUAUAA